UGUGCAGGAGAGACCGUUGAAGAACAGAGGAGGAAGAUGCAGAGCAUGAACAUCGCACUGCCGUCAACAAACGUCAUCGUGCAGCCAACAAGGUCAGCCCGUACAGUUCAAGCUCAACACA